rnacentral:rRNA from 1 species
CCUACGGGUGGCAGCAGUAGGGAAUAUUGCUCAAUGGGGGAAACCCUGAAGCAGCAACGCCGCGUGGAGGAUGAAGGCUUUAGGAUUGUAAACCUCUUUUGUUAGGGAAGAUAAUGACGGUAUCUAACGAAUAAGCACCGGCUAACUCCGUGCCAGCAGCCGCGGUAAUACGGAGGGUGCAAGCGUUAUUCGGAAUCACUGGGCGUAAAGGGUGCGUAGGCGGGGUAAUAAGUCAGAUGGGAAAUCCUGUAGCUUAACUCCAGGACUGCAUUUGAAACUGUUACUCUGGAGUGUAGGAGAGGUAGGUGGAAUUCUUGGUGUAGCGGUGAAAUCCGUAGAGAUCAAGAGGAACACCCAUUGCGAAGGCGGCCUGCUGGAACAUUACUGACGCUGAGGCACGAAAGCGUGGGGAGCAAACAGGAUUAGAUACCCUAGUAGUC